GUACAUGCUCUUUAGAAAUUUGGUCUUGGAUUCUGACACUAUAAUUUGUAACUUUUGGUUGUAAAUUCUGUACUCUGUGGUAUAUAAAUUGUUUUCUAUUUACGAUGGCGCAAGAUUUGUGGUCGCUGCAAAACCCUGUUUUUGCUUUCUACGUCCUCUGCUCUUCCGUGUUGCUGUUCAAAACAUUGUUCAUGGCCAUUUUGACAGGAUAUGUGAGAAUAACGUACAAGAGCUAUUCAUGGGCAGAAGACAAUGUUUCUGCAGGAGUUAAAGAGGUGAAACCAGAACACCCUGUUGUGGAACGAGUGCGUGGAUGCCAUCGGAAUGACAUUGAAAACAAUGUGCCAUUUGGUAUAAUCGGUCUGCUUUACACCAUGACAAAUCCAUCUGUGUGGAUAGCCAGGUUACUGCUUAGUGGGUUUACAGUGCUACGUUUACUUCAUACAAUCAUCUUUUUGAAGCAACUCGGACAACCUUAUCGAUUCCUUUCCUUUCUGUUUGCUCUUAUCAUUAAUUUUAUAAUGCUUAUCUCUGUUUUUAUACAUGCACUGCCACUGAUAAUCUAGUUUUGAAAUAUUUUGCUUUCUGAAAUCGCUGUUGCAUGUUUAAACAUGAUUAUAUACACAAAUAUUGUGGGCUAAUUUAGUUCAGAAUUAGUUCCUAUUUCAAAUAUAAUAAAGGAUGCAGAAGAGUGCUUGUGUAUUUUCUUUAUUUAACACAGAUCAACAUCGUCCACAUAAUUUGGACAAACUCAGUUUUAGGGUUUUGUUAGCUAUGAAGGUUAGAUGAAUCAACCAUAAUGUGCAUGCCAACGUAAAAAUUCUUGGCUUUCAUCACUUUAAUUGUAUUGCACUUUGC